rnacentral:rRNA from 1 species
GAUGAACGCUAGCGACAGGCUUAACACAUGCAAGUCGAGGGGCAGCAACACUUUCGGGUGGUUGGCGACCGGCGCACGGGUGAGUAACACGUAUGCAACCUACCUACUACUAGAGGAUAGCCCGUCGAAAGACGGAUUAAUACUUUAUGACACAGGGGUGCCGCAUGGCAAUAUUUGUUAAAGAUUUAUUGGUAGUAGAUGGGCAUGCGCAGGAUUAGCUAGUUGGUUGAGGUAACGGCUCACCAAGGCUACGAUCCUUAGGGGUUCUGAGAGGAAGGUCCCCCACACUGGUACUGAGACACGGACCAGACUCCUACGGGAGGCAGCAGUGAGGAAUAUUGGUCAAUGGACGAGAGUCUGAACCAGCCAAGUCGCGUGAAGGAAGACGGUAUUAUGUAUUGUAAACUUCUUUUAUAGGGGAAUAAAAUGCGGCACGUGUGCUGUUUUGUAUGUACCCUAUGAAUAAGCAUCGGCUAACUCCGUGCCAGCCGCCGCCGUAA